rnacentral:rRNA from 1 species
GGGAAUCUGCCCUUCGGUUGGGAAUAACUGAGAGAAAUUUCAGCUAAUACCUUAUAAUGUCUUCGGACCAAAGAUUUAUCGCCGAGGGAUGAGCCCGCGUAGGAUUAGCUAGUUGGUGGGGUAAUGGCCUACCAAGGCGACGAUCCUUAGCUGGUCUGAGAGGAUGAUCAGCCACACUGGGACUGAGACACGGCCCAGACUCCUACGGGAGGCAGCAGUGGGGAAUAUUGGACAAUGGGCGAAAGCCUGAUCCAGCAAUGCCGCGUGAGUGAUGAAGGCCUUAGGGUUGUAAAGCUCUUUUACCCGGGAUGAUAAUGACAGUACCGGGAGAAUAAGCUCCGGCUAACUCCGUGCCAGCAGCCGCGGUAAUACGGAGGGAGCUAGCGUUGUUCGGAAUUACUGGGCGUAAAGCGCGCGUAGGCGGUUUCUCAAGUCAGAGGUGAAAGCCCGGGGCUCAACCCCGGAACUGCCUUUGAAACUAGGAGACUAGAAUCUUGGAGAGGUCAGUGGAAUUCCGAGU